GAUGAACGCUGGCGGCGUGCCUAAUACAUGCAAGUCGAGCGAACAGACGAGGAGCUUGCUCCUCUGACGUUAGCGGCGGACGGGUGAGUAACACGUGGAUAACCUACCUAUAAGACUGGGAUAACUUCGGGAAACCGGAGCUAAUACCGGAUAAUAUAUUGAACCGCAUGGUUCAAUAGUGAAAGACGGUUUUGCUGUCACUUAUAGAUGGAUCCGCGCCGCAUUAGCUAGUUGGUAAGGUAACGGCUUACCAAGGCAACGAUGCGUAGCCGACCUGAGAGGGUGAUCGGCCACACUGGAACUGAGACACGGUCCAGACUCCUACGGGAGGCAGCAGUAGGGAAUCUUCGGCAAUGGGCGAAAGCCUGACGGAGCAACGCCGCGUGAGUGAUGAAGGUCUUCGGAUCGUAAAACUCUGUUAUUAGGGAAGAAUAAAUGUGUAAGUAACUAUGCACGUCUUGACGGUACCUAAUCAGAAAGCCACGGCUAACUACGUG
rnacentral:rRNA from 1 species